GACGAACGCUGGCGGCGUGCUUAACACAUGCAAGUCGAACGGAAAGGCCCUGCUUUUGUGGGGUGCUCGAGUGGCGAACGGGUGAGUAACACGUGAGUAACCUGCCCUUGACUUUGGGAUAACUUCAGGAAACUGGGGCUAAUACCGGAUAGGAGCUCCUGCUGCAUGGUGGGGGUUGGAAAGUUUCGGCGGUGGGGGAUGGACUCGCGGCUUAUCAGCUUGUUGGUGGGGUAGUGGCUUACCAAGGCUUUGACGGGUAGCCGGCCUGAGAGGGUGACCGGCCACAUUGGGACUGAGAUACGGACCAGACUCCUACGGGCGGCAGCAGUGGGGAAUCUUGCACAAUGGGCGGAAGCCUGAUGCAGCAACGCCGCGUGCGGGAUGACGGCCUUCGGGUUGUAAACCGCUUUCGCCUGUGACGAAGCGUGAGUGACGGUAAUGGGUCAAGAAGCACCGGCUAACUACGUG
rnacentral:rRNA from 1 species